rnacentral:tRNA from 1 species
GGAGGGGUGUCCGAGUGGCCUAUGGUGACGGUCUUGAAAACCGUUUCCCGAUUAUAUCGGGACGUGGGUUCGAAUCCCACCCCCUCCG